ACGGAAGAGGGUGAUUACAACGUUAAGCUUCGCAACGUAUCGCGUUUCAUCGAAAAUGGCGAUAAAGUCAAAGUUUCCCUGCGCUACCGUGGCCGAGAAAUGGCUCACCAGGAACUGGGCAUGGAGAUGAUGAAGCGCAUCGAAACAGAUCUGGAAGAAUUAGCCACUGUAGAGCAGUAUCCCAAGAUGGAAGGGCGGCAGCUGAUAAUGGUUAUGGCCCCCAGAAAGAGAAAGUAAGUCUCUUUAUUAGAUAAAGGCUAGAGCGCCAGCGAUUGUGUUUGCAGUCCCGAAGCGAGCGCAGCGCUCUCCUUAAAUAGAAUCUACCCUUCUCGCAAUAGCGGGAA
rnacentral:misc_RNA from 1 species